rnacentral:rRNA from 1 species
GAUGAACGCUGGCGGCGUGCCUAACACAUGCAAGUCGAGCGAUUUACUUCGGUAAAGAGCGGCGGACGGGUGAGUAACGCGUGGGUAACCUGCCCUGUACACACGGAUAACAUACCGAAAGGUAUGCUAAUACGAGAUAAAAUACUUUUAUCGCAUGGUAGAAGUAUCAAAGCUUUUGCGGUACAGGAUGGACCCGCGUCUGAUUAGCUAGUUGGUAAGGUAACGGCUUACCAAGGCGACGAUCAGUAGCCGACCUGAGAGGGUGAUCGGCCACAUUGGAACUGAGACACGGUCCAAACUCCUACGGGAGGCAGCAGUGGGGAAUAUUGCACAAUGGGCGAAAGCCUGAUGCAGCAACGCCGCGUGAGCGAUGAAGGCCUUCGGGUCGUAAAGCUCUGUCCUCAAGGAAGAUAAUGACGGUACUUGAGGAGGAAGCCCCGGCUAACUACGUGCCAGCAGCCGCGGUAAUACGUAGGGGGCUAGCGUUAUCCGGAAUUACUGGGCGUAAAGGGUGCGUAGGUGGUUUCUUAAGUCAGAGGUGAAAGGCUACGGCUCAACCGUAGUAAGCCUUUGAAACUGGGAAACUUGAGUGCAGGAGAGGAGAGUGGAAUUCCUAGUGUAGCGGUGAAAUGCGUAGAUAUUAGGAGGAACACCAGUUGCGAAGGCGGCUCUCUGGACUGUAACUGACACUGAGGCACGAAAGCGUGGGGAGCAAACAGGAUUAGAUACCCUGGUAGUCCACGCCGUAAACGAUGAGUACUAGCUGUCGGAGGUUACCCCCUUCGGUGGCGCAGCUAACGCAUUAAGUACUCCGCCUGGGAAGUACGCUCGCAAGAGUGAAACUCAAAGGAAUUGACGGGGACCCGCACAAGUAGCGGAGCAUGUGGUUUAAUUCGAAGCAACGCGAAGAACCUUACCUAAGCUUGACAUCCUUUUGACCGACGCCUAAUCGCAUCUUUCCCUUCGGGGACAGAAGUGACAGGUGGUGCAUGGUUGUCGUCAGCUCGUGUCGUGAGAUGUUGGGUUAAGUCCCGCAACGAGCGCAACCCUUGCCUUUAGUUGCCAGCAUUAAGUUGGGCACUCUAGAGGGACUGCCAGGGAUAACCUGGAGGAAGGUGGGGAUGACGUCAAAUCAUCAUGCCCCUUAUGCUUAGGGCUACACACGUGCUACAAUGGGUGGUACAGAGGGCAGCCAAGUCGUGAGGCGGAGCUAAUCCCUUAAAGCCAUUCUCAGUUCGGAUUGUAGGCUGAAACUCGCCUACAUGAAGCUGGAGUUACUAGUAAUCGCAGAUCAGAAUGCUGCGGUGAAUGCGUUCCCGGGUCUUGUACACACCGCCCGUCACACCACGGAAGUUGGGGGCGCCCGAAGCCACUUAGCUAACCCUUUUGGGAAGCGAGUGUCGAAGGUGAAAUCAAUAACUGGGGUGAAGUCGUAACAAGGUAGCCGUAUCGGAAGGUGCGGCUGGAUCACCUCCUUUCUAAGGAGAAUUACCUACUGUUUAAUUUUGAGGGUUUAUUCCUCAAAAUUAGCACUUUGAAAACUGCAUAACAUUUAGUGAUAUGACAUCAUUUUAAACAUAUAUAGACAAGAAAAGUCUUUAAAAUUACACUUUUAAGCACUGGAAUAAACUGAGUGAAUACGAAGUUUGUUCAGUAGCGAUAACUUUUUAAUAACUGGUCAAGUUAUUAAGGGUGCAGGGCGGAUGCCUUGGCACUAGGAGCCGAUGAAGGACGUGAUAAGCUGCGAUAAGCUUCGGGGAGUUGCACGUAAACUUUGAUCCGAAGAUUUCCGAAUGAGGAAACUCACUUAGAGUAAUGUCUAAGUAUCGUUAAGUGAAUACAUAGCUUAGCGAGGGGAACCCGGGGAACUGAAACAUCUAAGUACCCGGAGGAAGAGAAAGAAAUUCGAUUCCGUAAGUAGCGGCGAGCGAAAGCGGAACAGGCCAAACCAAUGAAGUUUACUUCGUUGGGGUUGCGGACAUACAACAUGGAUGCAAUAUCGUAAAUGAAGAGAGUUGGAAAGCUCCGCCAUAGAAGGUAAUAGCCCUGUAGUUGAAACGAGAAAGCUACUAGUAUGAUCCAGAGUACCACGGGACACGUGAAACCCUGUGGGAAGCAGGAAGGACCAUCCUCCAAGCCUAAAUACUACCUAGUGACCGAUAGCGCAU